rnacentral:sRNA from 1 species
GAGCUUUUCGAAAAGGUAUCACAUGCCAAGUUUGGCCUGACGGUAUAAAAGUUAUAGAGUCAUAAAGUUUUAACCAAUAAAAAAAAUUAAAAAAAAAGAGUGAUGCAACACAAAGACUUCCCGGGAGGUCACCCAUCCUAGUACUACUCUCGCCCAAGCCCGCUUAACUGCGGAGUUCUGAUGGGAUCCGGUGUAUUAGUGCUGCUAUGAUCUUAUCUGUUAGUAUAUGCAAUGCAAUCGUAUAUAUUCUUUUUGGAAGAAUUGAUGAACCAUUCGCCGUGGGUCCCACCCGCUGUGUAGGGAUACCCCAUCUAGUCUUAACGAGCUUUGAUGCAUGAUA